AACUGAUCGUCGAUCCCUUUUCUAAUGCGCUUUUAUACAUGGCCGCCAAUUCUGCCCUUGUAAAUCCAAGUACUUCUGGAUUUUUUACUUUGGUAACGAUCGGAAUGUGAGGCUGAAAAAUCAGAGGUUCACGCUCGUAAUGGAAAUACCAUGUUACGGAUGUGCGUAACAAACACUCGCGGUCAGUAUGUUCGCAAUUGUACUAGCAGGGAUGGACUGCACGAAUAUCCUCGACUAACUCGUUCCCCACCAGGUAUUCGAGGAAUUCAUGGUUAUUGGUGAUUCCAUAGACAUGUGAUAGAAUAUAACAGAUGUGCUCGAAACCAUCAAGUUUUCAAAUACACAUAAAUUGGGCAACACGAGAGAUUAUUAAAUGACUCGUAAGAAAAAUGGGAACAGUACAGUAAACCAGUUCAGAGGAAACAAGCGACAAGAUUAAGUGCAAUCGUGAUCUGGAAUCUUUUGCUUUUUGACGUAGAUCGUAGGAUGCCAUCAAGUUCGUUAAAAGGAAACUUGCAUGGAUGCUUGAACACAAGCAAAAGCGAGAAUCGUGUAUAUAAUACAUAUAUAUUUCUUACGUUGUGGUAAUACUUUUUGUUUUAAGCGAGAGACAAUUGGUAUAUGGGUAUUAGUAUUUUAAUUAAGAAAGUUGUUUUAAUAUUUGAUUUAUUUUAAAAACGGCAUAUGAGAUGGUAAUAAUGUAUAUGGGACAAUAUAAUAAUGGGAUAGUAAUUUCCUAGAAGAUAUAGUUUAUAACAUCCUGCUCGUAUAAAAUCUAUGUCGUGAUUAUAAUUGUCAUUAGUUUAUUAUGCAAAUCAUAGUGUAAGUUCUCGAUGUAGACCGUGUACAAUAAACGAUGAAGGAAUUGCGGUUCACUGAGUGGACCUGCGAGGAGCCGUUAGAUGGUAACCAAUGAUUUUCUUUAAUUAUGUUCGUCCACCGUAAUUACUCGUCUAGAUUACAAUACUGAUAUUUCCCACUUUCUACAUUAUAUACUUCUCGUUAUAAAAUUAAAUUGCUCUAAUUUCCUAUAAUGAUAAAUAUCGAUAAUAUUACAAUAAAAACGAUUAAAUAGUUAUGUAUACCAAUACUAAUGAUGUUUGUAGCUUAAAAUUUACAUAACGGUACAUUAACCCGUGGGAUUGAAAAUUACUAGAUCCGCGAAUAGAUAAUAAAUAAUAAUUAAAUAUUAUAUACACAUACAUUCAGAAUGAAAUUUAAUUUUGUGAGUCUAUAAAUUACACGAAGAAAUUUAUACAAAAGUAGUUUUAAAUUUUCGUUGGACGAAUGUGAAAAGAAUGUACCGUAAUGUUUCAUGUCCUGUUAUGUUAGUAAAAGAAGGGGGAGGAAAGGAAAACGAAAAUUGCUCGUAUAGUUCGUUAUUGUGUCAUGUAUUUCCUUUCACAUCGAGUGCACCGUUACCGAUAUCGCUUUACAAUUUUUUUUUCUUUUCAUACAAAAAGAUGAUUCGAUAAUCAGCGCCGCUACAUCAUUUUUGUGGUUCGUCAAUUAUCUUCGCACGAGAUCGGCGAACGAUCAAUUGUCAUUACACGUAUUUCAUAGAUAUAAUAUAUAUAAUAUAUAUAUAUCUUCAUCUUUAGCAUAACCUCCCUCUUAUAAAGUGAAUAUCAUACAAAAUCUUAGGCUAUACGUAAUUUAACUUUUAAUCCUCCGUUACAUACGAACAUAAUGCACUAAUUCAAUACGCGGAUGAAUUUCAAUUUUAUUUCUCUUACACGAUUUCAUUUACAAAAAAAAAUUCUACUUAUGGGUUAACGAACCGGAUUGGAGACGACGGUGGUAGGCCCUCUUUUUAGAGCGUUUACAUUUUUCUUUACGAAAUAUACGAAGCACAGAAACUGUUCUUUUCUUUUGAAUUAGACCUGGUGCAGACGAGCUAUUGCGAUGUUAUUGCGAUUACGCAGCAGUAUACAAAGUUAUUGUUGCGAUUCAAUUAUGUAUAUAUAUUUUUAAUAAUGCAAUGCACAUAGGUGUGCGUUCCCGCUAUUAAUUCUUUCGUUUCUAACGUUGACUGUAAUCAGCAUCCAUGCGAGGACCUGUGAAUACGAAUGUCGACCAUAGUUAGCACGCAUAUAAUAAAACAUACUAACGCCGAUUAUAGUAAUGAUUUAUUCGGUAACAAUUAUGUUACGUUCUGUAGUUAUUGUUUUGAUUCUGUGUUCGAUUAUGUAUUAAAAAUACGGUUCUUUCGGAAUAAUUCGGAAGCAAUUCGUUAAUGGUAUAUAUAUGUUAAUUUCUUCAAUGUUGAAAGGUAUAAUUUUAUUUAACUCUUCUUUUCUAUGCAAAUAUUAAUGCAAACGAAUAUUCGCGGAGCGCGUUUCUCUACUAUAGAGGAACCAUAUUCGCAGUUAUAUGGAUUGUAAAGACAGGGUUAAAAAUAUAAUAUUACUGAGAAUCGCACACAGAGUUACCGCUACGAAAUCUCAACAAUAUUGAAUAGCUUAUUUGCACGUGGUCUUACACCCGUCAAUUAUAGACGGAAUGUCGAUUGCCGCUAAAUCGACUUGAACUUUGUCACGUAAUUUGUUCACGUGCGCGCGCAGUUACGGUUACUACGCGCAUCAGUUCCGGCUGUUCAGCACCGUUCGAUAUCGAACACGAAAAUUUAAAGAGCCGUUCGUGUAUUAUAAUUUCUGAUAUUUGACGGUGAACUUAACCGUAGUUAGUUAAAAAUAUGCCUUAAAAGAAUACAUUAUAUACAGAACAAAAGAAUACCGUUACAAAAGAUUAGUGCCCAAGUUGAUUGAAAGUGAUACUCGAUAAAGAUUUACAUUUUUUUUUUCAGAAUCACGGUAUAUGAUUCUACGAUGAAAGACUAUUCUUUGAAAAGAUCUGGUUUCAGUUCGUUCGCACAUUGAAUUCAGAUCACGAACUGAUCAAUUAAUAAUUUGCAUCAAUUUCUGAGAAUUGUUUGUGCGAUUAUUAUAAACAACGAUGGAGAUUAUAUCGCUAGUAAUUUCGCCUAAAAUAGGCCGAGAUAGGUUUUUAUCUUUCUUUUCUUGCUUCUAUCCUUAUCGUUUAAAUUGAGUAUCGGUAUACAAAAAAUUGUAAAUGUAAUUUUAUAGUAAUCUUAGAUUAACAUAAAGAAAGACGUACAUAUUGAAUGUACAUUACAGAUCGAUCUAAGAAUUAAUUGCUAGUCGUGUAAGUAGAUGAACAUAAAUGUACGCUAUACUGUAUACUAAAAAUGAAACAACGACGAUUCAUAGCACAUCUUUACGUACACAAUUCGAGCGGAAACUUAUAUAUAUGUAUUUGUACAUGGCAGCACGAUAUUUUUAAACGAACGUCGCAAGUAUACUUAUCCUUAAUUAUCAGAAUCCUCUACUUGACGGUACAGUCAUUGAAUAAAUAAAAAUUACAGAGUUCGAUAUAAGCUACGUGUCGGAAAAAAUAAAAUUUAACAAUAUGUCUAUACAUGUCGCUAACGAAUUAGAUUGUGUAAAAUAUUUUAUUGCUAUGUUUACAGAGUAAGCAGUACCUCGUUAAAAUCUCAACGCAAAGGUUGCAACGAUAAUACCUAAUUAUAAAGAAUACUUUUGAUAAUACUUUUUUGUAUUAUCUGUCUACAAUAUUUCCUCCGCCAUUAAGAUUUCAUAACGAGAGAAAAUAAUCGGAAAUAUAAAACGAAGUAUACAUAUAUAGGGUGAUGUGUCUUGAUCCAUUAAUGAAUACAUAUUGGACAAAAUCAUUAAUUCGA